CUGCCGUUCACUUUGUUUAAAUUGAACGAGAAUGCACAGCGGUCCUCUGAUCUUGGGGGGAAAGUGUUGGAAUCCUGCACUUUCUGAAUCCUGUUUGGGUUUGUUUAACAGGGAUGUUUGGACUGCUCAAAAAAAUUGCAGCCCGUGAGAUUUCUUUGUGACACCACUUCGAAGUGUUUCACGUGGUCUGUAUGGAAGUGAGCAUGAAAUAUAAAUAUCCAGCUAAGUGUCAUGUUAUAAAGCCAUUUGCACUGCACUCCUAAAUAAGGAUUACGUAGCAUCGAAGAGGAGCUGGGCUUCUCCUGCCCCUGGGCAAGCUGACAAGCAGCAGUCUGAGCAGGAUGCCUGAGGACUGAUGGUUCAGGGUGACUUCUACAACUAUUUGCCCUUUGCAGGUGGUCCACCGCAGCCAGGAGUAAGGACGGCUGAUAUGCCUGACUGAGGUCCCAGGUUUCUCGCUUCAGAGGCAAGCUCCUGGGGAAGAAAUAAAAAAAAAAAAAAAGAAAGAGAAAGAAAGAAAGAAAGAAAGAAAGAAAGAAAGA